AUUGAACGCUGGCGGCAUACUUUACACAUGCAAGUCGAACGGUGACAGGCCGCAAGGUGCUGACGAGUGGCGAACGGGUGAGUAAUGCAUCGGAACGUGCCCAGUCGUGGGGGAUAACGCAGCGAAAGCUGUGCUAAUACCGCAUACGAUCUAUGGAUGAAAGCGGGGGACCGUAAGGCCUCGCGCGAUUGGAGCGGCCGAUGUCAGAUUAGGUAGUUGGUGGGGUAAAGGCUCACCAAGCCAACGAUCUGUAGCUGGUCUGAGAGGUCGACCAGCCACACUGGGACUGAGACACGGCCCAGACUCCUACGGGAGGCAGCAGUGGGGAAUUUUGGACAAUGGGCGCAAGCCUGAUCCAGCAAUGCCGCGUGCAGGAAGAAGGCCUUCGGGUUGUAAACUGCUUUUGUACGGAACGAAAAGGUUUGGGUUAAUACCCUGGGCCGAUGACGGUACCGUAAGAAUAAGCACCGGCUAACUACGUGCCAGCCGCCGCAGUAA
rnacentral:rRNA from 1 species